CGGGUGAGUAACACGUAUCCAACCUGCCGUCUACUCUUGGACAGCCUUCUGAAAGGAAGAUUAAUACAAGAUGGCAUCAUGAGUCCGCAUGUUCACAUGAUUAAAGGCAUUCCGGUAGACGAUGGGGAUGCGUUCCAUUAGAUAGUAGGCGGGGUAACGGCCCACCUAGUCUUCGAUGGAUAGGGGUUCUGAGAGGAAGGUCCCCCACAUUGGAACUGAGACACGGUCCAA
rnacentral:rRNA from 1 species